GACUGACACAUAUCUUUCUCUAGAACAUAUUUUGUACUUGAUGAGCAGUCUUUAUAACCAAUCAUGUCAUAUGUAUCUAUGAUUUAUCCUAAAAAUUAAUAAAGAUGAUUUUGUAUAUUCUCAAAAUAUUGAGAAUUUGAGACAUACAUCAUUAGUGAUUAAUUUCUAAAUGCUCUCGAUUGAUGGAUCAUCAUGAAGGAUAGUGAUUAAUCCAUUCAAGAUUGGUACACGGAUCACCUCUCUUAUGGGACAGAUGAGUCUCGAGUCUGCGAUGUGGAGAUACUGGAGUGAGAGUGCAGGUGGUUGUUAAAGAAC
rnacentral:lncRNA from 1 species